rnacentral:rRNA from 1 species
GGCAACCCGUCGUCGGAAGGCGACACACUGCAAAGCAGUGGGCAAACGUGGGGAACUGAAACAUCUCAUUACCCACAGGAAAAGAAAAUAACAAUGAUUCCGCCAGUAGUGGCGAGCGAACGCGGAAUAGCCCAAACCGUUCCUGUUUCGGCAGGAUCGGGGUAGAAGGACCGCCAAUAAAGGCAAGAGCGGAGGAAGUCGAACCAAUUGGAAAGUUGGAUCAAAGAAGGUGACAAUCCCGUAGACGAAUCCGAAGCGAAGCCGAGGCGGCACCUGAGUAGUGCGGGACACGAGAAAUCCUGUAUGAAUCCGCGGGGACCAUCCCGUAAGGCUAAAUACUCCCGAGAGACCGAUAGCGAACCAGUACUGUGAAGGAAAGGUGAAAAGAACCUCGAACAGAGGAGUGAAAAAGACCCUGAAACCAUACGCCUACAAGCGGUCGGAGCCCCUACGUGGGGUGACGGCGUGCCUUUUGCAUAAUGAACCUACGAGUUACUUUUGCCAGCCAGGUUAAUCGAUUCAGUCGAGGAGCCGAAGCGAAAGCGAGUCUUAAUAGGGCGGUAUAAGUUGGCAGGAGUAGACGCGAAACCAAGUGAUCUACCCAUGAGCAGGUUGAAGGUUAGGUAACACUAACUGGAGGACCGCACCGGUAAACGUUGAAAAGUUUUCGGAUGACUUGUGGGUAGGGGUGAAAGGCUAAUCAAACUUGGAGAUAGCUCGUACUCCCCGAAAUGCAUUUAGGUGCAGCCUUCUGAAUAUAUUUAAGAGGUAGAGCGACUGAUAAGAUGCGAGGGCUUCACCGCCUAUCAAGUCUUGAUAAACUCCGAAUGCUUAAAUAUGAAUCAGAGGAGUGAGGGCAUGGGUGCUAAGGUCCAUGUCCGAGAGGGAAAUAACCCAGACCACCGGCUAAGGUCCCGAAAUAACGGCUAAGUUGAAUUAACGAAGUAGAAUUGCAAAGACAGCUAGGAUGUUGGCUUGGAAGCAGCCAUUCAUUUAAAGAGUGCGUAACAGCUCACUAGUCGAGGAGUUCUGCGUGGAUAAUAAUCGGGCAUAAGCCGUUUACCGAAGCUGUGGAAUUGGCAACAAUUGGUAGGGGAGCAUUCCAUAAGCCGCAGAAGGUUUUCCUUGAGGAAUGCUGGAGGUAAUGGAAAAGCAAAUGUAGGUAUAAGUAACGAUAAAGAGGGCGAGAACCCCUCUCGCCGAAAGACCAAGGGUUCCUGAUCAACGCUAAUCGGAUCAGGGUAAGUCGGGCCCUAAGGCGCAGCCGAACGGCGCAGCCGAUGGCAGAAACGGUUAAUAUUCCGUUACUAUGAUACGGAGUGACGAGGAGACGGAGAAGUGACACUCUCGCCUGCUGACGGAAUAGCAGGUUGAACGGAGUAGAUAAUGACAUGGUAGGCAAAUCCGCCGUGACAGUCGAACCGGAUAGUACUGGGCGCCCCCGGGCAACCAGAUAGUAGAGGUAAUCAGGCUCCCGAGAAAAUCCCCUAAACAUAUGCGUAUCAUACCCGUACCCUAAACGGACACACGUGGUUGAGUAGAAAAUACUAAGGCGCUCGAGCGACUCACGGUUAAGGAACUAGGCAAAUUGACCCUGUAACUUCGGGACAAAGGGUCCCUCCCUCCGGGGAGGGCGCAGAGAAUAGGUCCAGGCAACUGUUUAACAAAAACACAGGGCUGUGCGAAAUUGAAAGAUGAAGUAUACAGCCUGACACCUGCCCGGUGCUGGAAGGUUAAGAGGAGACGUCAUCGCAAGAGAAGCGUAGAAUUGAAGCCCCAGUAAACGGCGGCCGUAACUAUAACGGUCCUAAGGUAGCGAAAUUCCUUGUCGGGUAAGUUCCG